rnacentral:rRNA from 1 species
UACAGAGGUCUCAAGCGUUGUUCGGAUUUACUGGGCGUAAAGCGUGCGUAGGCGGCGAGGUCAGUCAGAUGUGAAAGCUCGGGGCUCAACCCCGAAAUUGCAUCCGAUACUGCCUUGCUCGAGUAGUGGAGGGGGGUCCGGAAUUCACGGUGUAGCAGUGAAAUGCGUAGAGAUCGUGAGGAACACUAGUGGCGAAGGCGAGACCCUGGACACUUACUGACGCUGAGGUACGAAGGCUAGGGUAGCGAAGCGG